CCGCCCGACGGGGGCCGCGGGGCGGGCGGGCCCACUCUGCCCGGCCGGGAUGGAACCGGGGGGGGUGGCGGUGCGGGGUUCGCCGUCCCCGAGGGCGGGGGCGAGGCGCCACCCGGGGCGGGCGGUUGUCAUGGAGACCCCCCCCACGGCUGGGCUGUUCCCGGUUGCGUCCUCCUCUCCCGCGCGGGCCCCCCCGGAGCGUAGGGGGGGAAGGGAUGGAGACCCCCCACCCCACCGCGGRGUCCUGGCUGGGCUCCCCCCUUCGGGACAGGUCGGCGGGGGCGGGGGGACCCCGGCGGCCGGAGCUGUCCACCGGGCGGCCGCUGACAGGCGGCCCCGGAGCCGCGGGAGCCUCCCGAGCUCGCGGAGGGCAGGCGAGGAGCCGGGAGCCCGGCACGCUCCGUCCCGGCGGGAUCCGCUCCCUUCCCUCCGGCCGCCCCGAGAGCCGCGGCUGCUCACGCACCUCCGCGCCGAAGGAAACACCCGGUCUCCAAGCGCAGCAGCAGCAGCUAAAUGUCUCGGUCCUUUUCUUGUUGUGAGACAUCCUUAACAAACAGAGGAAAUCCAUCAGGACAAAUAUACAUGUUUCUGCAUGCAGCACUGUAUUUAGGAGUUCGGCUUAAGGUAGAUAUCUAGAGCUGAAAGAUUUCCCACUGAAAUGUGAAACUGUAUGCGUUAAUAGAUUGCGUAAAAACAAUACAAGUAUGAGUGAAAAACUGAGUUCCAAGUCCUUUUCCCAUUCCCAGCUGGACCCGGUAGGCUGGAACUACUGGAAACUUUUUCAAGCAAAGUCAGGUUAAAUGAAAAGCUUGGUAGUGGAACUGCUUACUUUUUUUUCCAGAAGUAUUUUAUUCCAGGGCUGUGAUCUCAACAGAUUCUGGAAGAAUAUAACACGAAAAGCAAACAAGGCAAGAUGCAACUUGGUGGACGCUUCCCUGGAGUGGCUGCCUGCUUGCACUCGGGCUCCGGGACUCUUGAUGUGAGAUGGAAACAGCUAGUUCCAAAAUACAGUCGUGUAAUGGAACAUCUCAGUGUUAUGGCUCCGUUUGUGGGUCCUUGUAAUAGAGCUGAUCGUAGAGUUCAUUUUGGAAGCAAAUCUCUGCCUCGAAUGGAGAGUUUAUUUUUAAUAUUUUAACCGAACAGCGUCAAGACUUGGCAUUUUCUCUGAAACUAAACACUCUAGACUAAAGGCUCCAGCACCUCGCCUUUAGCAUCACUGACUGCCCACGUUCAAGGAGUCUGAUUUUGAGAGUGCUGGUAGAGUGAAGGCGAUAUUAGGCUAUCUGGACUUACUUAAGCAAAAUAUGUUUAUAUUGGUUCAGCUCUUAAAGAGUGCUUUAGAUGGUAAUCUCUGAAUGUCAUUCUGCACAAAAUGGAUGGUGAUUUUGUACAAAAUGGUGCCUGCUUGUCUCUGCCAGAAAUGAACAGCCAUAGCAUUUUAUCUUAAGCCAUCAUCCUUUCAGAUUAACUGCUGACUACAUUUUGCAAAAUUCGUACUACAGUUCCUGGAGCUGACAAUUUUGAGGACAGUUUAAAUAUAUUUAAAAAGUGCUGUGUCUUCACUCAUUCAUUGGGCUACUUUUUAUACCUACAGAAAUUUUGUGGAAGGAAGUCUUGCAUAAAAAAACAUGUUAGAAACUGAGUAUUAGGGGCAUCUCUAGUUUUUAGGGUGGGGAAGAUGAUUUUUUUUCCUUAGUUAACAAUUUGUCUUAAAUGAACAAAGAAACAACUUAUGAUAUUAAACACAACCAUUUAUGGAGUUUACUGAAGAACUUCGCUAUGUCUGAACUCAAAACAUUCCUGAUUAUCCCAGAGUUAAAAAGAAAAAAAAAGCAUUUACAAGAAAAUAAAGCAUUUUCACAGGGACUCA
ensembl:lncRNA